rnacentral:rRNA from 1 species
UAGGGAAUUUUGCGCAAUGGAGGAAACUCUGACGCAGCAAUACCGUGUGCGGGAAGACGCUUCGUGGAGUGUAAACCGCUGUCAGAUGGGAUGAAUAAAUGACUGUACCAUCAAAGGAAGGACCGGCUAACUCUGUGCCAGCAGCCGCGGUAAUACAGAGGGUCCAAGCGUUGUCCGGAUUUAUUGGGCGUAAAGCGUCUGUAGGUCGUUGAUUAAGUCUGAAGUGAAAGAAUGGAGCUCAACUCCAUAUCCGCUUUGGAAACUGGUUAACUAGAGAAUGUUAGAGGUAAGUGGAAUUUCUAGUGUAGCGGUGAAAUGCGUAGAUAUUAGAAAGAACACCAGAGGCGAAGGCGACUUACUGGGACAUUUCUGACACUGAGAGACGAAAGCAUGGGGAGCGAAAGGGAUUAGAUACCCCCGUAGUCC